rnacentral:rRNA from 1 species
GACGAACGCUGGCGGCGUGCUUAACACAUGCAAGUCGAACGGUGAACCGCUUUCGGGCGGGGAUCAGUGGCGAACGGGUGAGUAACACGUGGGUAACCUGCCCUCCACUCUGGGAUAACUCCGGGAAACCGGGGCUAAUACCGGAUACGACCUUCUCCGGCAUCGGAGAGGGUGGAAAGUUUUUCGGUGGAGGAUGGACC